rnacentral:tRNA from 1 species
UCCGGGGUAGCUCAACCGGCAGAGCAUCUGACUGUUAAUCAGAGGGUUGUGAGUUCAAGUCUCACCCCCGGAGCCA